GGGUCAGUAGGUUGGUCGUGCCACCGGUACGUACUGGUCUCACUGAUUCCUCCUUCCUGAAGAACCGUAAUGCCACUAAUUUGGUGUUGCAGGGAAACAGGACUGUUACUUUGAAAAAAUUAGAGUGUUUAAAGCAAGCUAACGCUUGAAUACAUUAGCAUGGAAUAAUGAAAUAGGACGAUCGAUCCUAUUUUGUUGGUUUCUAGGAUUGACGUA
rnacentral:rRNA from 1 species